rnacentral:lncRNA from 1 species
AUAUUGUCUUUGCACGGUCAACUAACGGUCAAUGUUAAACUUAACUGACGGUAGAAAAUUUUUUACAAAUAAAUCAAUUCUCGCCAUCUACUUGCAACAAACUCAAACCUCAGGGGAGGUUUUUAAAAAUUACCCUAAAUUAUAAUCUAUUUGCCGUUGUGGUCGGAGAGAAGUACCACAUUUUUCAUUUUCUUUACAGAUGCCGUAACGAGAUCUAUGAACCACACAUGAUGAGGCAGCACUUAUUACCUUUCAAUAACAAUUGUAAAGAGCCACUCGGGGCAAAUGCUUUGUGUCAGACAAUUGUUGGACCCGUAUAAAACUAUUAAUGGUUUCCGUACUUUUUUAAUUAUUCAAUAUUUGAGUGAAAAUAAUUUUUAAAAUUUAAUAUAAAUUA